GGGCGAUCAGUAGCAAGGUGAUUGUGAUCAGGUGAGCACCGUAUGCAGGUGAGGACACGAGCUGGAGGCCUUGGAGAAACAGAUCCGUGACCUGGUGGAGAAGCAGGCCCAG